rnacentral:tRNA from 1 species
AAGAUGUUAGUUAAUUUAUAACAUUAAUAUGUCAUAUUAAAAUUAUUAAUAUAUAUAAUACAUCUUU